UGGGGAAUAUUGGACAAUGGGCGCAAGCCUGAUCCAGCCAUGCCGCGUGAGUGAUGAAGGCCUUAGGGUUGUAAAACUCUUUCACCGGUGAAGAUAAUGACGGUAGCCGGAGAAGAAGCCCCGGCUAACUCCGUGCCAGCAGCCGCGGUAAUACGGAGGGGGCUAGCGUUGUUCGGAAUUACUGGGCGUAAAGCGCACGUAGGCGGAUUGGUCAGUUGGGGGUGAAAUCCCAAGGCUUAACCUUGGAACUGCCUCCAAAACUGCCAGUCUUGAGUCCGGGAGAGGUGAGUGGAAUUCCUAGUGUAGAGGUGAAAUUCGUAGAUAUUAGGAAGAACACCAGUGGCGAAGGCGGCUCACUGGCCCGGUACUGACGCUGAGGUGCGAAAGCGUGGGGAGCGAACAGGAUUAGAUACCCCCGUAGUCC
rnacentral:rRNA from 1 species